GGGCUAUUCAGCUGAGAACAUCAUAUUUUGGAGGUGACAGAGUUCAGCCACCUGAAUGUAAGCCAUGCUGUCUCAGCUGGUUUCAGGGAUGGCUUGUUAGUCCCAGUGAAGUGCCACAUGAAAGCAUGAACCAGCUUGGGUCCAGCUCUGAGUCGACUAACAAGCCAACUUUGAACGCAGAAGGCUUUGAAGCACAGGGUAGAGACAAAGUAACUCUGCAAUAAUUAGCUCAAAGCCACUGCUGGACCAAACCCAAUCAAGCCUGGCUUGUCAUGAACUCACUCAGUGCGAAGGCACUUGGAAGUCUCUGAAUGCCCCUAAUGCAUGCUGUGAUAGCUCCUUUACCCAUGCUUUUCCACUGUCUGGAAAUGAGAAACCCCAUUUACACAGAACGUAAUCUUUUCCUAUUAUUGGUUAUGCUGGCAUUUAAUAUGAUGCAUAAUGUAAUUAAAAUUUCCCUGCAAUUGUGACAUUCAUAAUGUCUCCUCACAUAAAAACUCUAAUUUACAAUAAUUUUCAGUAACAAAAUAUACCAUUUAUUUCCUCAUAUAAACAGCUGUUUUUUUCUGGCAAAUGUUAUAUCUCCAGUCACUGCAUCCUUGUAAAAAAUAACAAUAGACCCCAUUCGACUCCUUUUCAAUCCAACAACAAAUCUGAAUUCUGUGUAUUUGUUUUGCAAAGAAAUAAAUUAUUUUAGAUAUUACACCAAGCCUAGACAAACCUGCGUGAGACAAAUUCAGUACACCAUUUGGAGGUAUACAUUAAUGAUUUUUUCAUCUCUCAUUUUACAGCACUUGCUCCUGAAUCGAAAUUACAAUAGCCAGAUGACACAAAAUACGAAGCUGUCACAAUCUCACACUGUUGUUUUGAACUAGUGAAAAAAAUAUUGAGCUAAGUUUCCUUUGGCAGACUGUAUGCUGAAUCAGGCAUACAGUUUUCAUGAAACAUAAUGCUGGCAUAAACACGUGUCGUGUCAUAUGUCAUAAACAUAUGUCAGUUUACUCACAGGUAAUCUUUUAAGGAUAAACCCCUAUUCCCAGCUGCACAUGGAAAUCUAAGGAGAGAACGCAGUGAAGAAAAAAAAAGCAUUUUUUAUCUCAAUCCGCAUCCAUACUUGGCAGUCUUUUCUAUCUGAGUUAUCAGCAGUUAUAAUGCCCAUAAGAUACUCAUGCCAACAAAAGACCAGACACAGAGGGUCAGGCCAGAAGUCCAGCACUCCCCAGUGUCCUGUCAUCAAUGAAUACCCUCAGUUAUGACUCCCCCAG
ensembl:lncRNA